UACAGAGGGUGCAAGCGUUAAUCGGAAUUACUGGGCGUAAAGCGUGCGUAGUCGGUUAUUUAAGUCGGGCGUGAAAGCCCCGGGCUCAACCUGGGAAUUGCGUUCGAUACUGGAUAGCUAGAGUUCGGCAGAGGGAAGCGGAAUUUCGGGUGUAGCGGUGAAAUGCGUAGAGAUCGGGAGGAACACCGGUGGCGAAGGCGGGUCUCUGGGCAAUUCCUGACGCUGAGGCGCGAAAGCGUGGGGAGCAAACGGG
rnacentral:rRNA from 1 species